rnacentral:lncRNA from 1 species
UUUUUUUGUCUAUUAAUUUUUAUGUUUUUUUCACCUCAGAUAUUGUAUUAAUUUCGGUUGGGUUCUAACUAGAGAUGCACAUAAAUAACUUGGUUCUGGGUAUCAUAAAACAAACAAGGCACAGACAUAGAAGGUUAUUGAUUAUAUGCUACAACCCAUUUAAUUAAGCUGGUUUUCUUGACACCAUUUUCUAUUGCAG